GUCUCGGUAGCAUAGUGGUUAGUGCACAACUCCGGAUAGGUUGAAACGCGGGUUCGAAUCCCGCCUGAGAGG
rnacentral:tRNA from 1 species